rnacentral:tRNA from 1 species
GCCUGUAGCUCAACUGGUAGAGCACUAGGAUUUCAACCUGGAGGUUGCGGGUUCAAUCCCCGCAGUCG